UACGUAGGGUGCAAGCGUUGUCCGGAAUUAUUGGGCGUAAAGAGCUCGUAGGCGGUCUGUCGCGUCGGCUGUGAAAACCCCGGAGCUCAACUCCGGGCCUGCAGUCGAUACGGGCAGACUGGAGUUCGGCAGGGGAGACUGGAAUUCCUGGUGUAGCGGUGAAAUGCGCAGAUAUCAGGAGGAACACCGGUGGCGAAGGCGGGUCUCUGGGCCGAUACUGACGCUGAGGAGCGAAAGCGUGGGGAGCGAACAGG
rnacentral:rRNA from 1 species